rnacentral:rRNA from 1 species
CAGCAACUUGGAGGAAUGUAUAUUGACUAUGUCAAAUAAAGUUCUAGGUAGAAUAAUGAUAAUGACAAUUUUCUAUUUAUAUGUCUUGACCAAAUCACGUGCCAGCAGUCGCGGUAAUACGUGGAAGACUAGUGUUAUUCAUCUUUAAUAGGUUUAAAGGGUACCUAGACGGUAUUUUUAGCCCAACAACGGGGACUGAUUUACUAGAGUUUAAAUGUGAGAAGGCUAGUAUUUUUAGUGUAGAGAUAAAAUUCUUUGAUACUUUGAGGACUGGUAAGGGCGAAAGCGACCUUCUAUGUAAAAACUGACGUUGAGGGACGAAGGCCUGGGGAGCAAUAAGGAUUAGAUACCCUAGUAGUCCAGGCAGAAAAUUAUGAAUGUCACAUAUUAGAUUAAUUUAGUGUGUAAAUAAAAGUGUAAGCAUUCCACCUCAAGAGUAAUGCGGCAACGCAGGAACUGAAAUCAUUAGACCGUUUCUGAAACCAGUAGUGAAGUAUGUUAUUUAAUUCGAUGAUCCUCGAAAAACCUUACCACAAUUUGUAUAUUUACAAGCGCUGCACGGCUGUCUUCAGUUAAUGUCGUGAGACUCUGGUUACUCCUCAAAAUUAACGUAAACCCUUGCUUUAUUUAAUUAUUUUUAAUAAAGUAGUUGACCGUUAUAUUGGAUAUGAUAAAAGGGACU